rnacentral:rRNA from 1 species
GCGGACGGGUGAGUUAAUAUAUCGGAACUGGCCAGUAGCGGGGGGAAACCUACUUCGAAAAAUGGGCUAAUACCGCAUACGCCCUACGGGGGAAAGGGGGGGAAUUCCUCGGAACCUCUCACCAUUGGAGCGGCCGAUAUCGGAAUAGCUAGUUUGGUGGGGUAAAGGGCUUCACCAAGGCAACGAUCCGUAGCUUGGUUUUGAGAGGACGACCAGCCACACUUGGGACUUGAGACACGGCCCAGACUUCCUACGGGAGGCAGCAGUGGGGAAAUUUUGGACAAUGGGGGAAAACCCUUGAUCCAGCCAUCCCGCGUGUAUGAUGAAAGCCUUCGGGUUGUAAAAGUACUUUUGGCAGAGAAGAAAAGGUAUCUCCUAAUACGAGAUACUGCUGACGGUAUCUGCAGAAUAAGCACCGGCUAACUACGUGCC